GGGCCCGCACAAGCGGUGGAGCAUGUGGUUUAAUUCGAUGAUACGCGAGGAACCUUACCAGGGCUUAAAUGUAGUGGGACAGGUCUAGAGAUAGACCCUUCUUCGGACUCAUUACAAGGUGCUGCAUGGUUGUCGUCAGCUCGUGCCGUGAGGUGUCAGGUUAAGUCCUAUAACGAGCGCAACCCCUAUCGUUAGUUGCCAGCGGGUAAUGCCGGGAACUCUAGCGAAACUGCCGGUGCAAACCGAGAGGAAGGUGGGGAUGACGUCAAAUCAUCACGGCCCUUACGUCCUGGGCUACACACGUGCUACAAUGGUCGGUACAGAGAGCAGCCACUACGCGAGUAGGAGCGAAUCUUCAAAGCCGAUCACAGUUCGGAUCGGAGUCUGCAACUCGACUCCGUGAAGUCGGAAUU
rnacentral:rRNA from 1 species